rnacentral:rRNA from 1 species
UACGUAGGGUGCGAGCGUUAACCGGAAUUACUGGGCGUAAAGUGUGCGCAGGCGGCCGAGCAAGUCGAGUGUGAAAGCCCCGAGCUUAACUUGGGAACUGCGCUCGAAACUACUUGGCUGGAGUGUGGCAGAGGAAGGUGGAAUUCCACGUGUAGCGGUGAAAUGCGUAGAGAUGUGGAGGAACACCGAUGGCGAAGGCAGCCUUCUGGGCCAACACUGACGCUCAUGCACGAAAGCGUGGGGAGCAAACAGG